rnacentral:rRNA from 1 species
GACGAACGCUGGCGGUGUGCUUAACACAUGCAAGUCGAACGGUAAGGCCCUUUCGGGGGUACACGAGUGGCGAACGGGUGAGUAACACGUGAGUAACCUGCCCUCAUCUCUGGGAUAACAGUCGGAAACGGUUGCUAAUACUGGAUAUGAGCCUGCAAGGCAUCUUGUGGGUUGGAAAGAUUUUUUGGUUGGGGAUGGACUCGCGGCCUAUCAGCUUGUUGGUGAGGUAGUGGCUCACCAAGGCUUCGACGGGUAGCCGGCCUGAGAGGGCGACCGGCCACAGUGGGACUGAGAUACGGCCCAAACUCCUACGGGAGGCAGCAGUUGGGAAUAUUGCACAAUGGACGGAAGUCUGAUGCAGCAACGCCGCGGGCGGGAUGACGGCCUUCGGGUUGUAAACCGCUUUCAAUUGUGACGAAGCUUUUUGUGACGGUAGCAGUAGAAGAAGCACCGGCUAACUACGUG